AAGUGGUUCAAAGCUGGGACGUUUAUUAUGGAUUGGAGUUAGUACAUGAUAUGUUUAUUUAUUUGGAUUUAUGGAAUCAUAUAAAUGUUUUUUAGCUGUGGAAUCAUAUGUUUAUCAACAUUCAACAUUAGAGCUCUGUUUAGUGAGAACUUUCGACCAUAGGCACAUAAGAUCUCAAAUAAAAUAAUAAGAUAUAAAAGGUGGAAUCUCUAAUCACUGCAAUGUAUUUUACGAAAAAACUCUAAACCUUUCAUCAUGAGUUUUUUUCCUUCAUAUAAUACAUUGAUUAGUGGUUCCACUUUUCAUCAGAUCUAUUUACUUAAUUAAGAUCUAAUGGCUAGGAUUUUUUUUUUUUCAAGUUUUCACGAAAAGAGAUUUUCACCUAAUAAGCCACUAGCAUAUUUGAGUGGAUCAUUACUCAUACAUGUGUUUUAUGUUACAUGUCACCACGUUUAUAAGUUGUAAUCAAGUGAACCUGUAAACCUGGGUCCAUCUUCUUCCGUAAGAAAAUCUCACUUGUUUUACCGUGUCAGAGCUGUUUGUUUGGCGCCAUUGCUCAACUCAUACUUUUGUUUACUGCCUGCUUGGGGCAACAGACCGCUUUUAGUGGUUUUUGCAGGUUGCUUGAUGGAGAUAGGGGUUCACAUAUCCUCUAGUGAGCUCUUCUACGGUACCCUAGAUUUCAUAUGAGCCGUUUAUUUGUCCUGAUCAAGUGGUUAUAUUAAGUGGUACUCCCUCCUCAAUCUCACGGAGUACUCAGUUAGAAACCACCGGAGUACCACGAGUGGGAGGGAAAAAUUGUAAUUAAAUGAGGGUAACUGGUUUUUGUUUGUAAUUAAAAAAAAUUGUGUGUUCUCUUCGUGGCCAACGGCAGCCACGCCGGCGGAGGGAAGAGGCAGCCGGCGCCGCUCGAUUGAGCGGCCAUGCCAGCGAAGGGGUCAGGCCGCUGCGCCUGCGGGCUGUGGGGCAGACGAAGCCGCCGCGCCGCUCGAUUGGGCCGCCGACGUCUCAAUGGACAUUGCGCUGGUGGAGGAGACAGACUGCC
rnacentral:lncRNA from 1 species